rnacentral:rRNA from 1 species
GUUUGAUCCUGGCUCAGGAUGAACGCUGGCGGCAUGCCUAAUACAUGCAAGUCGAACGAGAGGAAGGAAAGCUUGCUUUUCUGAAUCUAGUGGCGAACGGGUGAGUAACACGUAGGUAACCUGCCCAUGUGCCCGGGAUAACUUCUGGAAACGGAUGCUAAAACCGGAUAGGUAGCAGACAAGCAUUUGACUGCUAUUAAAGUGGCUAAGGCCAUGAACAUGGAUGGACCUGCGGUGCAUUAGCUAGUUGGUGAGGUAACGGCCCACCAAGGCGACGAUGCAUAGCCGGCCUGAGAGGGCGGACGGCCACAUUGGGACUGAGACACGGCCCAAACUCCUACGGGAGGCAGCAGUAGGGAAUUUUCGUCAAUGGGGGGAACCCUGAACGAGCAAUGCCGCGUGAGUGAAGAAGGUCUUCGGAUCGUAAAGCUCUGUUGUAAGAGAAAAACGGCACUCAUAGGGAAUGAUGAGUGAGUGAUGGUAUCUUACCAGAAAGUCACGGCUAACUACGUGCCAGCAGCCGCGGUAAUACGUAGGUGGCGAGCGUUAUCCGGAAUGAUUGGGCGUAAAGGGUGCGUAGGUGGCAGAUCAAGUCUGGAGUAAAAGGUAUGGGCUCAACCCGUACUGGCUCUGGAAACUGAUCAGCUAGAGAACAGAAGAGGACGGCGGAACUCCAUGUGUAGCGGUAAAAUGCGUAGAUAUAUGGAAGAACACCGGUGGCGAAGGCGGCCGUCUGGUCUGUUGCUGACACUGAAGCACGAAAGCGUGGGGAGCAAAUAGGAUUAGAUACCCUAGUAGUCCACGCCGUAAACGAUGAGAACUAGGUGUUGGGGGAAUAACUCAGUGCCGCAGUUAACGCAGUAAGUUCUCCGCCUGGGGAGUAUGCACGCAAGUGUGAAACUCAAAGGAAUUGACGGGGGCCCGCAC